CCUGCCUCAGCCUCCUGAGUUAACAUAUAUUUUUAAAGGCCACUCUGAAUUUUCUAUGGUGAAUGAAUUAGAGGAAGACAAGGCUGGAAUUGGGGGAGUGGUGGAGGAACCAUGCAUAGACUUGGAUAGGCCCCCCAGGGGGAGCUGUGAUCUGCCGGGAAGGAUGACUGUGGCUCGGGUCCUGACAGUGGCUGUGAAGGCUCAGGAAGAAGGGAGUCUAUUUUGGAGGUGGAAAUGACAGAAAUUGCUAAUGAGUUAGAAGUGACUCUUACAUAUCUGAUGAGCAAUUUCUGACUUCGGUUGUUAUAUUUCUGGCUUGGUGUGAUUUUUGGAGAUAGUAAAGGCUGAAGUAGGAACAAAUCGAUGAAAGAAGCAGGGUGUGGAUCAAGGCUUGUAUUUGUGUGCUUUAAGUUUUGGAUGGCAGUGAGUUAUUCUGGUGAGGCUGUCACAGAAAGAGGCUGCAGUGCAGAAGAUGGGUCUGGGCUGAGAAUGCUCUGCAGAGGUUCACACUUGACCUUUGAAAAGCUGAUCAGCCACCCGCAAUUAUUUAUCAUAUCGGCAUUGGUCUCAGGUCUCGAGGGCUCAUCCGAGAGGAAUCUGCUGACCCAUCUCACCCUUUCCAACUGCAGAAGAGUAAAGAGGCAGGAAAUGGGGUGAAAUGGUACUGCUACUGAUCAAUGCUAAUGACCUACACCUGGCUGCAACACUCAUUUUAUUAAAGAAAGAAAAAGCGGGUUUCAGAGCGACUGGGAGCCUCGCUGUAUUAAUCACAUUUGCAUAUUGUGCUCUAUUUCAGAAGACUUCAACACCAUAACUCACAGCAAUCCAUAUUUAUGAUUUGAAAAUUGCUGACUGAAUAAUUAUACAUUAAGUAACUUCUGUUUCCUUGUAUAUUAUUGUUUCUAAUUAGCAAUGGGGGAAAAUAAAGUCAUUAUUAUUUAUGGAUACAGUUUAGGCUCGGCAUUUCCACUGGGUUUACAGUCUUCACAUCAGUCUGCAGCCCCUGCUGGGCUCCUCCGUGCAGCCUCCAGGAGCUGGCCGGCUGGGCCAGGCAGGUUCCAGCCUCCCUCCCCUGCUCCUCCUCUGCUACUCUCCCCUAAGUGCUUGUUCAUUCAGACCACAGGGCUUCCCUAUCCUCAUUCCAUCCUUAUGGCCUUUGUAUAUAGUUUCACGUGCUGUAAGAUGAGAAAGUUCUCAUUCUGAAGUUUAACGCUCCAAAACUGUCACGUGAAACUCUUGCUUAUCACAGUGAAUUAUUCCCGCCUGUGUUUGCCGUUGUUAUUUCAGAUAACUGUUGCUGAAGCAUUUGCUAAAUAGACCUCAUGGCCUUUCUAGCCCCUGCCCUUUAGACGCAUGCACACAUAGUAAACAAUAAGCAUUAAGUAAAACACAGAAUUUAUCUAUUUAAUUGAAAAAAGCAAAGCCAGAUCAGCCGGCCACACAGUGACCAAACCUAGCUGCAGAGGCUCUGCACUGACACAGCAGCCUGCCCCUCGCUUGCCUCUCCAUAGUUGCCCAGUUACAUGGCCUUUCCCUUCCAGCAGAGCCCCUCUGAGCCACCUGGCUGGAAAAUUCCAGUCCAUUUGCCUGUUG
ensembl:lncRNA